CCUUGAAGGUGCAGGCAGAAGAGUAUCAAGAUGGCCUGCGACAGACAGGAAGGGCGUUAGGUGACGGACAGCUCCGAACUUCCCUGACCACUUUUCUUCUGCUGCAGGAGGCAAGCUAAGGGCCUACUGGAAUGUCAUGUGGCCUUCAGCAGUCACAUUGCCCGUGGCCGUGCAGACUCAGCCUCCACAAGCAGGAUGCUGGACUGGGCUGGGCUUCAAAUAUGGAGCCGAAACUAUGGGCAGUGGCCUUUAUUCUGGGCCUGCUGAAGACAAGAUGGACUUCUUCCACAGACAGAGAUGAAACCUCGGAGAAUCGCUGUCUUGGCUUACUUGGACUUCAAAUGGGACCAGAAUGCUGGGCGACUGUCACAGGAUGCCUCAGGCAGUGCUUGGCAUGCGGGCGGCUCCUCUGUGAGUCUACAUCCCUGCAGAGAAGAAUGUCAGCCUCCCUGACGCAGACGCUAGGGUGGAGCGGCAUUUCGUCACAGCGACUCAGUCAUUUCCAAAGUGCCCACUGAAACCUACCUCUUCCAAAGGGAAUCUCUUGAAGAGAAUCUCAUCCCCAUUUUCUGUGCAAGGACAUCAGGAAGCCACCUCCAUCCAGUCUCCUGUUCUCUAAGCAAAACCUUCCUGGCCCCACGUCUAUGGGGUUAUGGGAUCCGGCUCUCAAAAUGUGUGCAUGGUAGCAUGAGGCUGCCUCCAGCUUCCUGCAUCCAGAGCUGGCCCACCCUCAGCAAACACGACCUAGUGAAACUGCCACCCUCUGUAAGCUUCACCUGCCUCAUUCGUGAAACAAGGGCACUCACACAUGGUGUGAAAAUGUGGGGAUCUGGUCACUCUAGACAGGGCUCUAGAGAGCGGGGCAAUUAGGAGAGAAGAUGGGUUUUCUGUAAUUGUCCACAUUAUAUUGCGAUUCUUCAUCUGCAUUUACAGACUCCAACUUCCUGGAAAGUCUGGAAGUUCUGAAAAUCUUACAGGACAGUUUCCUUCCAGAGCCAGUGAGCAGUGAAGAACAAAGCUGGGACUAGGCCCAUGCUCUGUGCAAGUGGGAGCUUGACUCCUGACCUGCUGAAGACCUUGGUGUGAGGGGUGA